GGAUCUUCCCGCGGGUUUGGGCAAGCGGCCUUGGGGCUUUGUGAGAUAGCUAGGGUCGACUUGCUUGGAUUCCAGUAGAGCGGAGCUGACCCUAUCCGAGCAGGCCCCUGCCCUGCUUGGAUAGAGGCCUCCGGACAGAAGUAAAGAAUGGCUGUUGAACAUCCACAAGGCACCUGCAAGACUAUGAAUCAAAGUUGAGACCAAGAAAUUAUUUCUGAAAAAGGAUAUGGAAAACCUUACAAAACACAGCAUUGAGUGUUCAAGUUUCAGAGAUCCCCACAGGCGCUGCCUGAGACCCAGCUCUGUGUCUCCUCAUCGUACAGCUUGCGGAGCUCCACCUGCAAGGCCAUCAGCAUGCCCAGGCAGGGGUUAAGCUGGAGGGCCAUGGAGGAGGACAGGCCAGCAGGAUGCCACCUCUGCUCCAGGGCAUGCACCAUGUGUGAGAGAUUCUAAUUAUAUACACGUUCAUAAACAUAUACUCACAUGCACAGAGUAUGAUACUGUAUGUUUUGCAAUUUGUAGACAAUUGUCAGACCUACAUGAAAGGACUAUUAAGAAUAAUAAAUGUGUUGAAAGGUUUAAAUGGCGGGGGUGGGUGGAGUUCAGUGACUGUGCAAUGGUAUACUGGCAAAUCACCAGCCUCCAACAAAUCUAAUAUGCUGAACACAACUGGUGGGAAGAGUAGACAGGUACAUCUCUUCUGUACAUACAGCAUGAUAUGGGUUAGGGACUCACUGAAAAUAAUUUGCUCUGGAAUUCUGUGAUGUUGACCUUGGGAGAAAGAAAUGAAUAAUUCAAGUCAGCAGUGACUGAGAAGGAAGGCGGCUCAAGUUUGAGACACAAGAGAGUUAAGAUAGGAUGAAAUGUACUCUAUGAGAAGAAUGGAACUCCAUGUCAACAUAUAGUGAGCCCCAGUUCUAUGCUUUAAGGCGACCUCUGAGCCCUCUUUUCCUUAUUAAAAUGGGACUGACACUUAACUUAUGAUUGCUAAAAAGAUGAGGAAUAACGUAUAUAAAUAAUCUGAUAUAAAGUAAGCACUCAGUAUUGGUAGCUAUUAUUAUGAAAAAAUGUCAUAGCAAAAACAGAUAUUGGGCAAAUGAAAUGGCUUGAAGACAUCAAAAUAAAAGCCAGCUAGACUAUCUUAAGUCUUCCCUCCACACAAUCAUUGGCCAAACUUAGUCUGGGUGAGUCCCUAAAAAUCUCUUAAAGUUGUCCUCAUUUAAUUAUCGAAUCCCCUCUUUCCUAGACCACUACAGGAAUCUCCUAAUGGUCUCCCCAAUAUGUUUCAGCACCCUCUAAUCCAUUCAGCACCUGGUGUGGUAUUUGGUCUCACUUUGCCCUCCUGAAAAUCUAAACUCCUUGGUAAUUACCAAGAAGACUCCAAUAAUGAGGCUCUUGCCUACCUCUCCAACCUUGUGUUAUACUCCACUUCCACUUGCUCAAGAAGCCCCAGUCCUUCAAGCACCUCAAGUUCUCCCUGCCCCUCAGGGCCUUCCCACAUGGAUCUCCCCUUUGCCUGGCAUACCCCUCAUCCUAUCACCAUUGUUGGGCCUGCUAACAAUGAGAAAAGCCUCAUCACAGCUUCCACUAACAACCAAGCCCUAAGCCACUGAGGAACUUGCAGACACUGCUGACACUGAUUGCAGCCAGAGAAAUCAUAUGGAGAUUAUACCACUGCAUCCACCUAUAACAAAGCCAAAGCAACCUACCCAACCAACACUAUCAAUACAUCUACAGGAAAAAGGUUUUCCUUAUGAAAACAAACCCAUAAAAUUGGAAAAAAUGACCAUAACAAGAAAUACACAGAUAUCAAUGUAAGGAUAAAAGGAACAUGAAAAAGCAUGGAAGCAUGACAUCUCCAAAGUAACACAAUAAUGCUCCAGCAACAGAUUCCAACAAACAAGAAAUCUAUCAAGUGCCUGAAAAAGAAUUCAAAAUAAUGAUAUUAAAGAAGCUCAGUGGGAAACAAUAGAACAUGGAUAAAAACCAAAAGAAUCAGAAAAAACAAUUCAUGAUCUGAAUGAGAAAUUCAGCAGAUAUCAUGAAAAAGAACCAAACAGAAGUCCUGAAACUGACAAAUUUCAAUGAAUGAAAUAAAAAACACAAUUGAGAGCUUCAACAAUAGACUAGAUCAAGCAGAAGAAAGAAUUUCUGAACUUGAAGACAGGGUUUUUUAAAAGAAUCCAGGAAGAAAAAGUAAAAAAUAAUAAUCUUUAAAACUGAAGAAAGCUUAGGUGACAUAUAGGACAUCAUAAAGCAACCAAAUAUUCAAAUUUUGGGUAUUCUAGGAGAAGAGAUGGGCAAAGGCAUAAAAACCUAUUUAACAAAAUAAUAACUGAAAACUUUCCAAGUCUUGUAAGCAAUAUAGACAUCCUGAUACAGAAGGCUCAAUGAUGCCCAAAUAGAUUCAAUCCAAAAAGGUUUUCCAAGGCCCAUUACAGUCAAACUGUCAAAAGUCAAAGACAGAGAAUUCUAAAAAAAGCAAGAGAAAGGCAUCAAGUCACAUAUAAGGGAACCCUCAGGCAUCAAGUCACAUACAAGGGAACCCUCAUCAGACUAGCAGCAGAUACCUUGGCAGAAACCUUCCAUGCCAGGAAAGAAUGGGAUGAUAUAGUCAAAGUGCUAAAAGAAAAAAACACUGUCAGCCCAGAAUACUAUACCUAGCAAAGCCAUCCUUCAAAAAUGAAGGAGAAAGUUUUUCCCAGAGAAAAUGUAUCACAACUAGGGUGGCCCUAUCAAAAGUGGCAAAGGGUGUCCUACAUCUGGAAGUGAAAGACAUAUCUACCAUCAUUAAACAAAUGAAAAUAUCUACCAUAUCUACCAUCAUUAAACAAAUGAAAAUAAGAAGCUCACUGGUAGAGCAGAUAUACAAAUGGAAAGAAAAAGGACUCAGAUGUAACCAUUACAUAAAACCACCAAAUGAUAAGAGAAAAGAAAAAGGAUAUAAAACAACCAUAAAAAAUUAACAGAUUAGGAAUAAAUCCUCACCUAUUAAUAAUAACCUUGAAUAUAAACAGUCAAAUUCCCCACUUAAAAGGUACAGUCCGGUUGAAUGGAUAAAAUAAAUAUGACUCACCUAUAUACUGGCUGUGAGAAACUCACUUUAUAUAUAAAAUCAUAGACUGAAAGUGAAGGGAUGAAAAAAAAAAUACUGCACACAAACAGAAACCAAAAGCAAGUGAGAGUAGCCAUACUUAAAUAAAACAGACAUUAAAUAAAAAACUGCAAAAGAAGCAAAGAAGGUCAUUAUGUAAUGAUAAAGGGGUCAAUUCAGCCAGAGCAUAUAAAGUUCUAAAUUUAUAGGCACCCAACACUGCAGCACCCAGAUAUAUAAGCAAAUAUUAUUAGACCUAAAAAGAGAGAUAGGGCUGGGCGUGGUGGCUCAUGCCUGUAAUCCCAACACUUUGGGAGGCCAAGGCGGGAGGAUCACUUGAGGUCAGGAGUUCGAGACCAGCCUUCCCAACACGACGAAACCCUGUCUCUACUAAAAAUACAAAAAUUAGCUGGGCGUGGCCAGGCGUAGUGGCUCAUGCCUGUAAUCCCAGCACUUUGAGAGGCCGAGGCAGACAGAUCACGAGGUCAGGAGAUUGAGACCAUCCUGGCUAACAUGGUGAAACCUCGUCUCUACUAAAAAUACAAAAAAUUAGCCAGGCAUGGUGGCAGGCACCUGUAGUCCCACCUACUCAGGAGGCUCAGGCAGGAGAAUGGUGUGAACCUGGGAGGCAGAGCCUGAAGUGAGCUGGGUUCGCACCACUGCACUGCAGCUUGGAUGACAGCGCAAGACUGUCAAAAAAAAAAAAAAAAAGAAAAAAAAAUUAGCUGGGCGUGGUGGCAGGCACCUGUAAUACAAGCUACUCAGGAGGCUGAGGCAGGAGAAUUGCUUGAACCUGGGAGGCAGAGGUUGCAGUGAGCCAAUAUUGUGCCACUGCACUCCAGCCUGGGUGACAGAGCUAGACUCUGUCUCAAAAAAACAACAACAAAAAAAGAUAGACUCCCAUAAAAUAAUAGUACAGGACUUCAACAUCCCACUCUCAGCAUUAGACAGUUCAUCUAGAUAGAAAAUCAACAGCUUUGGAUUUAAACUAGACAUUAGACCAAAUGGACCUACCAGACACUAACUGAACAUUUUAUCCAACAGCUGCAGAAUACACAUUGUUCCCAUCAGCACAUGGAACAUCCUCCAGGAAGAGACCAUACGUUAGGCCAUAAGACAAGUUAUAACUAAUUUUUAAAAAUAGAAAUCAUAUCAAGUAUCUUCUCAGACUACACUAGAAUAAAACUAGAAAUCAAUAACAAAAACUUUGUAAACCACACAAAUAAAUGGAAAUUUAAACAAUGUGUUUGCUCAUGAAUGCCCAUUGGGUCAAUUAAGAAAUUAAAGAUCAUCAAAGCAACUACAAGCAACUAUAUGCUAACAAAUCAGAUAACCUAGAGGAAACAGAAAAAUUCCUGGAUACAUGAAAACCUACCAAGACUGAACCAGGAAGAAACAGAGCAGAAGAACCUGAGCAGACCAAUAACGAGUAAUGAGAUUGAAGCAGUAGUAAAAUGUCUCCCAACAAAGAAAAGCCCAAGACUAAAUGGCUUUACUGCUGAAUCCUACCAAAAUUACAAAUAACUAACCUCAAUUUUUCUCAAACUAUUCCAAAAAAUGGAAGAGAAGUUAAUUCUUCCUAAUCCAUUCUACAAGGCCAGCAUUACCCUGAUACCAAAACCAGAGAGGGACACAACAACAACAACAAAAAAGAGGUGAUAUCUCUCAUGAACAUAGACACAAAACCCCUCAAUGAAAUACUAGCAAAUGAAAUCCAAUAAUACAACAACAAGAUAAUAUACAACGAUUAAGUGAGAUUUUUCCUGAAAAGUGCAAGGAUGGCUCAACAUAAGCAAAUCAAUAAACAUGAUGUAUCAGAUCAACAGGAUGAGGGACAAAAACCAUAUGAUCAGCUCAAUAGAUGCAGAGAAAGCAUCUGAUAAAGUUCAACAUCUCUUCAUUAUAAAAACCUCUCAACAAUUAGGCAUUAAAAAAACAUACCUUAACAUAAUAAAGACUAUAUAUGACAAAUGUACAGCUAACAUCAUACUGAAUGGGGAAAAGCUGAAAGCCUUUCCUCUAAGAACUGGAACAAGACAAAGAAGCCCACAUUCACCACUAUUAUUCAAUAUAGUACUGGAAGUCCUAUCCAGAGCAAUCAGGCAAGAGAAAGAAAUAAAAGGCAUCCAGAUUGGAUAAUAGAAAGUCACAUUGUCCCUUUACAGAUGACAUGAUCUUACAUAUAUUUAAAAACCUAAAGAUGCCACCAGAAAUUCUUGGAACUGAUCAAUGAAAUCAGUAAAGUUGCAAGAUACAAAAUCAAUAUACAAAAACAAGUAGUACGCUGGGCACGGUGGCUCACGCCUAUAAUCCCAGCACUUUGGAAGGCCGAGGUGGGUGGAUUACUUGAGGUCACGAGUUUGAGACCAGCCUGGCCAACAUGGUGAAACCUUGUCUUGACUAAAAAUACAAAAAUUGGCCAGGUGUGGUGGCAGGCACCUGUGGUCCCACCUACGCGGGAGGCUGAGGCAGAACUGCUUGAACCCAGGAGGUGGAGGCUGCAGAGAGCUGAGAUCAUGCCAUUGCACUCCAGCCUGGGAGACAGAGUGAAACUCUGUCUCAAAAAGAAAAAAAAAAAAGGAUUUCUGUACAUCCACAAUAAUGAAUUAGCUGAAAAAGAAAUCAAGAAAACAAUCCCAUUUAUUAAUAUAACAGCUACAAAAAACAACCUAGAAAUAAAUUUAACCAUGAAGUGAAAGACCUCUACAAGGAAAACUACAAAACACCGACAAAAGAAACUGAAGACAACACAAACAAAUAAAAAGAGAUUUGCAUGCUUAUGCACUGGAAGAACUAUUGUUAAAAUGAACAUACUUCCCAAAGCAAUCUACAGAUUCAAUGCAAUCUACAGAUUCAGUGCAAUCCCUACUGAAAUACCAGUCAGUUUUUACAUGAACAGGAAAAAAAUCCUAAAAUUUGUAGGAAACCAUAAAAGAUGCCAAAUAGCCAAUGCAAUCUGUAGCAAAAGAACACAAGUGGAAGAAUCAAACUUCAAAAUAUACUACAAAGCUGUCGUAACCAAAACAGCAUGGUACUGCCAUAAAAAUAGACCCAAGGACCAAUGGAACAGAAGAGAGAACCCACAAAUAAAUCCAUGUAUUUAUAGUCAACUGAUGGUUGACAAAAGUGCCAAGAACAGACAUUGGGAAAAGGACAUGCUGUUCAAUAAAUGGUGCUGGGAAAACUGGUUAUCCAUAUAGUGAAGAAUGAAACUAGACUGUAUCUCUCACCAUAUACAAAAAUAAACUCAAAAUGAAUUAAAUACUUAACUAUAAGACCCCAAAUUAUAAAACUACUAGAGGAAAACAUAGGGGAAACACUUCAGAAGAAUAGGCAAAUAUAUUUUAGAUAAGACCUCAAAGAUAUUUUCAAUAAGGGGCAACAACAAAAAAAUAGACAAAUUGGACUAUAUUGAACUAAAAUCCUUCUGCACAGCAAAGGAAACAAUCAACAGAGUGAAGAGACCUGUAGAAUGGGAGAAAAUAUUUGCAAACUCUUCACCUGAGAAGGGACUAAUAUCCAGAAUUAACAAGGAAGCAAAAAAACUUAAUAGCAGUGCCAUAGCGGCUCAUAACUGUAAUCCCAGCACAUUGGGAGGCCGAGUCAGGAGGAUCACUUGAGGCCAGGAGUUCAAGACCAACCUGGGGCACAUAGGGAGACCCCCCCCAUCUCUAUAAACAGUUUUAAAAUUAGCUAGGUAUAGUGGCAUGCACCUGCAGUCUUAGCUACUUAGGAGGCUGAGGUGGUAGAAUCACUUGAGCCUGGGAAUUCAAGGAUGCGGUGAGCUGUGAUCAUGCCACUGCACUCCAGUCUGGCUGACAGUGAAACUCUCUCACAUACACAAAAAAUGACACUGGGCACAUUCUAUUAGUAAAAGAAAAAAAUACAUACAUAUAUAUAUAUAUAUAUGUAUAAAACAAUUGAUAAAUAUUCAAAGUGAUGGGUAUCUAAAUACCUUGAUUUGAUCCUUAUACAUUGUAUGAAUAUAUCAAUAUAUUGCUUGUACUCUAUAAAUAUGUAUAAUUUGUAUCGAUAAAAACUAAAAAAAAAGCUCAUGAGAAAUCUAAUGUAUGGCAGGAGGACUAUAGUUAGUAAUACUCUAUUGUAUACUAGAAAUUUGUCAGGAAAGUAGGUUUUAAGUACUCUUACCCUAAACAAAGAAAGAAGAAAAGAUUACAGUUAUUUGAUACGAUCUGCUUAACUAUAGUAAUUAUUUCAAUAUGCAUGUGUAUCAAAACAUGUUGUACACCUAGAAUUUAUACAAUAAUUUUUAAAAAAAGGUUCAUAUAAAAAAAUUUUUUUAAACACAUAUAAAAAUAGAAAGAAUGAGUAACACUUAGUAUUUGCUAGCAAAACAGGGUGACUGUAGUCAAAAAUAAUUUAAUUGAACAUUUAAAAAUAACUAAGAGGCCGGGCGUGGUGGCUCAUGUCUGUAAUCCCAGCACUUUGGGAGGCCAAGGUGGGUGGAUCACUUGAGGUCCGGAGUUUGAGACCAGCCUGGCCAACAUGGUAAAACUCUGUCUCUACUAAAAACACACACACACACACACACACAAAUUAGCUGGGCAUGGUGGUACGUGCCUGUAGUCCCAACUACUUGGGAGGCUGAGGCACGAGAAUCACUUGAACCUGGGAGGCAGAAGUUGCAGUGAGCAGAGAUCACAGCACUGCAGCACUGCCCUUCAGCCUGGGUGACAGAGUGAGACUCUGUCUAAAAAAAACAAAACAAAACAAAACAAAAUCCCCUAAAAACUAAAAGAGUACAAUAAGAUUGUAACACAAAGGAUAAAUGCUUCAGGUGAUAGAUAUCCCAUUUCUCCCGAUAUAAGCAUUGCAUGCCUGUAUCAAAAUAUCUCAUGUAACCCAUAAAUAUACAUACCUG